AGUCGAGCGAAUCGAUUGGGAGCUUGCUCCCUGAGAUUAGCGGCGGACGGGUGAGUAACACGUGGGCAACCUGCCUAUAAGACUGGGAUAACUUCGGGAAACCGGAGCUAAUACCGGAUACGUUCUUUUCUCGCAUGAGAGAAGAUGGAAAGACGGUUUACGCUGUCACUUAUAGAUGGGCCCGCGGCGCAUUAGCUAGUUGGUGAGGUAAUGGCUCACCAAGGCGACGAUGCGUAGCCGACCUGAGAGGGUGAUCGGCCACACUGGGACUGAGACACGGCCCAGACUCCUACGGGAGGCAGCAGUAGGGAAUCUUCCGCAAUGGACGAAAGUCUGACGGAGCAACGCCGCGUGAACGAAGAAGGCCUUCGGGUCGUAAAGUUCUGUUGUUAGGGAAGAACAAGUACCAGAGUAACUGCUGGUACCUUGACGGU
rnacentral:rRNA from 1 species